GCAGCCGCGGUAAUACGGAGGGUGCGAGCGUUAAUCGGAAUUACUGGGCGUAAAGCGUGCGUAGGCGGUUAAGUCAGUCGGAUGUGAAAGCCCAAGGCUUAACCUUGGAACUGCAUUCGAUACUGCUUAGCUAGAGUACAGUAGAGGGAAGCGGAAUUCCUAGUGUAGCGGUGAAAUGCGUAGAUAUUAGGAAGAACACCAGUGGCGAAGGCGGCUUCCUGGACUGAUACUGACGCUGAUGUACGAAAGCGUGGGGAGCAAACAGGAUUAGAUACUACAAAGUGUCCCCCCUAUUGGUGACAAUAGGGAGUGCAUCUAGCUAUAUCGGUGAAACCCCACUGGGGCAAUACCGAGGGAAGCUAUAUAUAAAUAGCCCCGUAGAGACUAUGUAGGUAAGGAGAUAGAAGAUGAUCAUUUCAUCUUUGUCGAGUCGAUGUAAAGAGAUAAUUCUUGGCUCUAUUUUAGGAGACGGGUCACUAAAAAUACACAAAGGGUAUAAAAAUGCUCGCUUUUCCUUUCGACACUCAAUGAAAUUCAGUGAAUAUUUUUACUGGAAAGUAAAAGAGUUAGAAGAAAUAUCAAGCCAUCAAUGCGUAUGGAGACAGUUGAAAAGCGGGUAUUAUGCGGAUGAGAUGCUUCGAUAUCAAAGUCGAGCACUUGAAGAAUUGACCCAACUCUAUGAAUUGGUUCAUCGUCAUCAUAAAUUUAAGAUACGAAGAAAAUGGCUAAAUCAACUCCGUCCACUUUCUUUAUGUGUAUGGUGGUUAGAUGAUGGAUCAUUAGUUGCUAAUUGCCGUCAAGGCGUGAUUUGUACGGACAGUUUUUCUUAUGAAGAGUUAAAACUCGCAGUAAGAUAUUUUAGAAUCGUCUGGAAUUUAUCACCUAGUAUUGGUCAAGUGGCAAAAAGUGGUCCCCGCUCGGAACAAUACCGAUUAUGGUUUCGUUCUCGGGAGGAGCUAAAAAAUUUUUUAAGGAUUAUUUUACCUUAUGUACCAGUCAGUUCUAUGUUAUAUAAGGUGUUGAUUCUUUACAAAGACCCAGAACUGCAACAACGCUGGAUCUCUGAAGUAUGCGAAUUAUCAAAAUUUAAGCAAGAAGAAGUAAUUUCAUGUUUAAAUGAGCGUAAGAAAGUCAUUGCAUACUACAGAGAAUGAUAUAGUCCGAGACUCAUGGUAACAUGAGAGAACUUGACCCUGGUAGUCCACGCCCUAAACGAUGAGAACUAGAUGUUGGGGGAAAUUAAUCCCUUAGUAUCGCAGCUAACGCGAUAAGUUCUCCGCCUGGGGAGUACGGCCGCAAGGUUAAAACUCAAAUGAAUUGACGGGGGCCCGCACAAGCGGUGGAGCAUGUGGUUUAAUUCGAUGCAACGCGAAGAACCUUACCUGGCCUUGACAUCCUCGGAACCUCGCAGAGAUGUGAGGGUGCCUUCGGGAACCGAGAGACAGGUGCUGCAUGGCUGUCGUCAGCUCGUGUCGUAAAUAACUUGCGACCUCUAGGAGUGAUCCUAUAGAAAAAUCCAGCUUAUAACGGUGAAACCCUAACAGAUAGUUGGUUACGAAUCCCCAUGAGGGGUUGUGAGUAACAGAUUGCGCUGAGGGCAAUACCGUGGGAAGUUCAUUCAGUUACGAAUCCCCAUGAGGGGUUGUGAAAUGAGAGAUUGUGAGGUGAAUGUAACCCCGUAACGACUGAGGCGUAAUGCCGAGAUAGCAAUCACUGCCCAUUUUGGGUAAAUUUAUGAUUGUUAUAAUACGCUGGCUCUUACUUAACUACCUGGUAAGAUGAAGAUAUAGUCUAAACCCAUAAGAAAUUUUGGGAGUUAUUUGGAGAUGUUGGGUUAAGUCCCGCAACGAGCGCAACCCUUGUCCCUAGUUGCCAGCGAUUCGGUCGGGAACUCUAGAGAGACUGCCGGUGACAAACCGGAGGAAGGUGGGGAUGACGUCAAGUCAUCAUGGCCCUUACGGCCAGGGCUACACACGUGCUACAAUGGUUAAUACAAAGAGUCGCGAAACUGUAAGGUGAAGCAAAUCUUUUAAAGUUAAUCGUAGUCCGGAUUGGAGUCUGCAACUCGACUCCAUGAAGUUGGAAUCGCUAGUAAUCGUGGAUCAGAAUGCCACGGUGAAUACGUUCUCGGGCCUUGUACACACCGCCCGUCACACCAUGGAAGUAGAUUGUACCAGAAGUGAUUUUCUUAACUAUUUUUAUAGAGGGUAAUUACCACGGUAUGAUAUAUGA
rnacentral:rRNA from 1 species